UCAGAAACUCUCUCUGGCUCUCUCUCUCUUCUAGCCGAACAUGCCUCAGAGUCUCUCUCUCUCAUGCCUCAAAAAAAAGCCACCAGUGAUACUCCGGUUACCUCUCCACCGAAGAAAGAAUGUGAACCAACAGUGUUUCAGCUACCCACCCAAAUGUGAUUAGAUCUGCCAAAUACCAACAGAAGUAACCACAAGCAUGAAGCCAGAAGAAACCAACACAGCCAGCAAUAAUCAAAGCAAAGAGAACCAAAAAAAAAAAAAAAA